rnacentral:rRNA from 1 species
UCGAGAAUUUUUCUCAAUGGGCGCAAGCCUGAAGGAGCGACGCCGCGUGGGGGAUGAAGGGCUUCGGCUCGUAAACCCCUGUCAUUUGCGAACAAACCUCGCGGUUGAACAAACUGCGGGCUGAUUGUAGCGAAAGAGGAAGGGACGGCUAACUCUGUGCCAGCAGCCGCGGUAAUACAGAGGUCCCAAGCGUUGUUCGGAUUCACUGGGCGUAAAGGGUGCGUAGGUGGUCGGGUAAGUUCGGUGUGAAAUCUCCAGGCUUAACUUGGAAACGGCAUCGAAAACUACUUGGCUAGAGGAUCGGAAGGGAGACUGGAAUUCUCGGUGUAGCAGUGAAAUGCGUAGAUAUCGAGAGGAACACCAGUGGCGAAGGCGAGUCUCUGGACGAUUCCUGACGCUGAGGCACGAAAGCUAGGGGAGCAAACA